UUUUUAAAUCUUUACAUCUCUUUUUCAGAAUAAAAGACAAGAACUGAAAAGAAAGGGAAACAGACGUGCAUUUUUUCUCUCAGAAUCAGAACAAGAAAACAUCAAUCGCAUAAUAGAAAAAAGACAACAAAGAAAAAGGCUGAAACAAUCGACAACAGAUACAAUAGACGCCAAGAGGCAUCACCAAGAUUCGGAAAAUAACCCGCCAUCACAAAGGAGCAGUGCGGAAAACAAUUUGGCUGAAAAAGAAAAAUAUGAAAAUAAAGAUGUCAUCCGAUUAGAUGAAAGUGAUUUCUUUAGACAGUUUAUAAUUCAAAAUUCCCCACCAGAUACAUUUCAUUCUAGAGAGGGAUUUCCAACGUCAAAGAACUCCACCUACGACUUUGUUUUACAGGACGUGGCAAAAGUCAGUGACAUAGCUGCUAAAAACCUGAAAAAAAUUACAAAUCUAGAAGAAAAAAUGUCAUUGCUUUCAUCUCAAGUGGAUAAACUGAAGUAUGCUUUGACAAUUGCAAUUACAUCGGAACAGGAGAAAAACAAGAAGAUAAAAAAUCCCCCCGUUUUAUUUAGUAUAUGUGUAUUUCUGAUUGCAUUAGGGAUAAUUGUUUUAAUGAUAAUCUGGAUCUCUCGAUAAGAAAAAAAGAUGUAUUUGUGAUAUUUUUAAAAAUAGCAGAACAUUGGAUUUGGUUAACGUUGUAGAUAUUCUCUAUAAGAUAUAUGCACACAAUGUUAAUGUGAUUAAAAGCAGUUUUACCUAACAAAAACUUUAGAAUUAGUUAUUCCUUCGUCAAACCAUCAGGCAUUUACUGGUGAAAAUCAGUGGUCUUUCGAAUGUGAUUAAAGUUUGAUAUUACAAUUCACGAUGUUUAAAGCCAUAUAAGCUGUAAUUUUUACGUUUGAAGUUAUGUUGAAAAAUUUCAAUUUACUAUUUUUA